rnacentral:rRNA from 1 species
GGACGAACGCUGGCGGCGUGCCUAAUACAUGCAAGUCGAGCGCGGGAAGCGAGCGGAUCCCUUCGGGGUGAAGCUCGUGGAACGAGCGGCGGACGGGUGAGUAACACGUGGGCAACCUGCCUGUAAGAUCGGAAUAACCCCGGGAAACCGGGGCUAAUGCCGGGUAAUACUUUUCUUCGCAUGAAGAUGAGUUGAAAGAUGGCUUCUCGCUAUCACUUACAGAUGGGCCCGCGGCGCAUUAGCUAGUUGGUGAGGUAACGGCUCACCAAGGCAACGAUGCGUAGCCGACCUGAGAGGGUGAUCGGCCACACUGGGACUGAGACACGGCCCAGACUCCUACGGGAGGCAGCAGUAGGGAAUCUUCCGCAAUGGACGAAAGUCUGACGGAGCAACGCCGCGUGAACGAUGAAGGUCUUCGGAUCGUAAAGUUCUGUUGUCAGGGAAGAACAAGUACCGUGCGAAUAGAGCGGUACCUUGACGGUACCUGACGAGGAAGCCCCGGCUAACUACGU